UACGUAGGUGGCAAGCGUUGUCCGGAUUUACUGGGCGUAAAGAGCGCGCAGGCGGCCAAGUCAGUCGAAUGUGAAAGCCCCCGGCUCAACUGGGGAGGGUCAUUCGAUACUGCUCGGCUCGAGUCCGGGAGAGGUGAGUGGAAUUCCUAGUGUAGAGGUGAAAUUCGUAGAUAUUAGGAAGAACACCAGUGGCGAAGGCGGCUCACUGGCCCGGUACUGACGCUGAGGCGCGAAAGCGUGGGGAGCAAACAGG
rnacentral:rRNA from 1 species